UUCAAUGGUGGGCUGGACGGGGCAGCUGAAAAGCUGGCCGACGGUUGCUUCGGUAGUUCCAACCCUGUUCAGUUCACCGCCAGU
rnacentral:antisense_RNA from 1 species